UUGAAUACUCAUGGACACAUUUCUCCGCCAAAUUAACAUGUGUGUUCCUACAUUUGUUUGAGACAUAUAACAGUUGAAGGUUUUCUUGGUUUGAAAGAAUAAAUGCAAGGUUUGUUAGUGUAUUAUUUACAGUUUCAAAUGGGACGAUGAGGUAGCACUGAAACAAACUUAAACCUGUGCAUACCUCUGAACAAAUAAAUAGCAGUGGUAUAUCUGGGAUGGUUAGUACAGAUGUGUAUGUUGCUUCUCUUGAAGAGCUCGCCUAUUUAUUGAUGCUUUUUGCUGGUAAUGGUGCAGGAUCAGGAUAACCUCGAUAGGUUACACAUGUUGCUCAUGAGGCUGAUAGGUUCCACAUGUUGCCCAGGAGUAUACCCGUAUGGAGCGGAGAUGACAGUCGAUCUUGUUGACAAUUCUCAAUAAAAAUUAUGGUGAAGUUGGCAAACGUCUGAAUCAGAUAGUGCAUACCCAUAAAAAUUAACAGUUACAAGUAUCUGCAUUUUACUGAAAGUUCUUUGGUAUAGCCCCAUCUCCAUCAAAGUAGAAGAGUACGUGUUGAUUUUCUCUCCCUUGUUCUGAUUGAUAUCAUACAGAAGUUGCUACAGAUGAAUGAAUAUGGUGCAGUUGUUCCAUUCAUUAUUUGGGCAGUGACCUGCUGUUUAAAUCCUUUGUUUGCGGGGCAUUUAAAUCCUCCUUUGGCCUGGCUGGACACGAGUUUCAAUAACUCUUGCA